rnacentral:ncRNA from 1 species
UGAAAGCAACAGCAGUACGAAACUACAAAAGCUAUGUGACUAACAUGGCUAGCAGUGAAUCACAAUACUACAAUCGAAAUCUAAGUAAAACCGGUUAAUCCUGCUAGUAGUCAUAUGCUUGUCUUAAAGAUUAAGCCAUGGAUGUUUUUGGUUGGUGGAGUGAUUUGCCUGGUUUAUUCCGAUAAGGAGCGAGACUCUAGCCUAUUAAAUAACACACAGAAUAUUGUCUUCUGUGACGUUCCUUAAUGCGAUCAAGUGUGUUUGACACUUUGAAACAGAGCAAUAAGAGGUCUGUGAUACCCUUAGAUGUUCGGGGCUGCACGCGCGCUACAUUGAGAGGCAAAAUGAGCUUUGUAGUCUUUAACGAGGCUAGUAAUCUUUGAAUGUUUUUCUUCAUGAGGGUAGGGGAUUGCAAUUAUGCCCCUUGAACGAGGAAUUCCUAGUAAGUGCUAGUCGUUAGCUGGUACUGAUUACGCCUCUGCCCUUUGUAAACACCGCCCGUCGCUACUACCGAUUAAAUGGUCUAGUGAGAUCAUCUGAGUAUAUGUACAUGUACUCUGUACGUGUAACGUUUGCAAUGAGGAUCAAACUUGAUCAUUUAGAGGAAGUAAAAGUCGUAAUAAUGUUUCCGCAUGUGAACCUGCGGAAG